CCUACGGGAGGCAGCAGUGAGGAAUAUUGGUCAAUGGAGGCAACUCUGAACCAGCCAUGCCGCGUGCAGGAUGACGGUCCUAUGGAUUGUAAACUGCUUUUGUACAGGAAGAAAGAGCUACGUGUAGCUUAUUGACGGUACUGUAAGAAUAAGGAUCGGCUAACUCCGUGCCAGCAGCCGCGGUAAU
rnacentral:rRNA from 1 species